rnacentral:rRNA from 1 species
UGGGGAAUAUUGGACAAUGGGCGAAAGCCUGAUCCAGCAAUGCCGCGUGAGUGAUGAAGGCCUUAGGGUUGUAAAGCUCUUUUACCCGGGAUGAUAAUGACAGUACCGGGAGAAUAAGCUCCGGCUAACUCCGUGCCAGCAGCCGCGGUAAUACGGAGGGAGCUAGCGUUGUUCGGAAUUACUGGGCGUAAAGCGCACGUAGGCGGUUUUUUAAGUCAGAGGUGAAAGCCCGGGGCUCAACCCCGGAAUAGCCUUUGAAACUGGAGAACUUGAAUCAUGGAGAGGUCAGUGGAAUUCCGAGUGUAGAGGUGAAAUUCGUAGAUAUUCGGAAGAACACCAGUGGCGAAGGCGACUGACUGGACAUGUAUUGACGCUGAGGUGCGAAAGCGUGGGGAGCAAACAGG